AGCCAUUGAUGCAGAGGUAUUCUUUGCAGCAUGAGAUGGUGCAUUGUCAUGCAUGAAGAUGAUUUUAUUACCAAAAGCAUAGUUCUUCCUUCUAUACCAGGGAAGAAAGUGAUCAGUCAGAAACUCCACACACUUUGCAGAGGUCAUCUUUAUACCUUCGGGGAACCUAAAGGGGCCAACCAGCAAUCUUGACGUUGCAGCCUUGUUGGAACAGGGUGGCCAUCCACCAACCAUCCACUACUCCAUCCAUCUGGACCAUCCAGGGUUGCACGGCACUUAUCAGUGAACAGGACUGUUUGAAAAUUAGCCUUCAUUAAUUUUUCUGCCCAAUGCAGCCAUUUACACUUGUGAGCAUUGGUUAGUGGAGGCCGAAUAGAAGGUUUAUGCACAGUUGCAAGACUCUGGAGGACUCUACACCUUAAUGUCCGUGGGACUCCAGAGGCACCAGCAGCUUCAAAUAUCUGUUUGCUGCUAUGUAAUGGUAUUUUAGCAGCUGCUCUCUUGAUCCCAUGCAUGGAUCUGGCAGAAAUCUUCCUCAAUGUGCCUUUCUCUGCACAAACCCGUCUGUGCUCUGAAUCAGCCACAAAUCUCUUAAUAGUGCGAUGAUCACGCUUAAGUUUUCGUGAACUAUGUAAUGUUUUCAUACCUCGUCCAAGGCAUUGAACUAUUUCACUCUUUUCGGCAGCAGAAAGAUCCUUUUUCUUCCCCAUAUUGGUGAAAAUGGUGCUCUGCUUAAUAAUGUGGAACACCCUCCUUUAGUAGUUUUUCCUUAAAUUGGGCUCACCUGGCAAUCUAAUUAUCACAGGUGUCUGAGAUUGUUUUCAGUGAUCAAAAGAGCCCUGAGACACAAUGCCAUCCAUGAGUUAAACUCAAAAAAAAAAUAUUUAAUCUUUGUGACACUUAAAUAGAAUUUGCAAUAUAAUUUGGAACAGGGUGUAUAUGUAUGUGUGUG